CCUGUGUGAGAGAGAGAGAGAGAGAAAAAAAUAAAUGAUUACUAAUGGCUUUAAGGAAAGACGUUUGCAUAAAGAUGAAAAAGAAUGUGUUGCAAUUUUUCGCUCUGCAAUGGGUAAUCGCGAUAUUACAUCGGUCAUUGGUGGAGAUAAUAGUUUGUUUCACAGUUUAUUUUCUCUGUGCAAAGGUCAAUGUUUCGUCAUUCGAUGACGACGCGUGCAACGUUUUGAUAGAAUUUUCUAACUGUAUAACUCGUAUUACACAUUAUAAUACGAAGAGAGAAAAAUGGCGUAAAAAAAAAA